AGUGAACGCUGGCGGUAGGCCUAACACAUGCAAGUCGAACGGCAGCACAGGAGAGCUUGCUCUCUGGGUGGCGAGUGGUGGACGGGUGAGGAAUACAUCGGAAUCUACUCUGUCGUGGGGGAUAACGUAGGGAAACUUACGCUAAUACCGCAUACGACCUACGGGUGAAAGCAGGGGACCUUCGGGCCUUGCGCGAUUGAAUGAGCCGAUGUCGGAUUAGCUAGUUGGCGGGGUAAAGGCCCACCAAGGCGACGAUCCGUAGCUGGUCUGAGAGGAUGGUCAGGCACACUGGAACUGAGACACGGGCCAGACUCCUACGGGAGGGAGGAGUGGGGAAUAGUGGACAAUGGGCGCAAGCCUGAUCCAGCCAUACCGCGUGGGUGAAGAAGGCCUUCGGGUUGUAAAGCCCUUUUGUUGGGAAAGAAAUCCAGCUGGCUAAUACCCGGUUGGGAUGACGGUACCCAAAGAAUAAGCACCGGCUAACUUCGUGCCAGCCGCCGCCGUAA
rnacentral:rRNA from 1 species